rnacentral:rRNA from 1 species
CACGUAGGGCGCGAGCGUUGUCCGGAAUUAUUGGGCGUAAAGAGCUCGUAGGCGGCCUGUUGCGUCCGCUGUGAAAGCCCGGGGCCUAACCCCGGGUCUGCAGUGGAUACGGGCAGGCUAGAGGUAGGUAGGGGAGAAUGGAAUUCCCGGUGUAGCGGUGAAAUGCGCAGAUAUCGGGAGGAACACCGGUGGCGAAGGCGGUUCUCUGGGCCUUACCUGACGCUGAGGAGCGAAAGCGUGGGGAGCGAACAGG